CGUAAGGGGCAAGCGUUGUCCGGAAUCACUGGGCGUAAAGCGCACGUAGGCGGUUUAGCAAGUUGGGGGUGUAAGCUCUAGGCUUAACCUAGAAAUUGCCUCCAAAACUACUUCACUUGAGUAUUAGAGGGGAAGCUGGAAUUCACGGUGUAGCGGUGAAAUGCGUAGAUAUCGUGGAGAACACCCGUGGCGAAGGCGGGCUUCUGGCUAAUGACUGACGCUGAGGUGCGAAAGCUAGGGGAGCGAACGGGAUUAGAUACCCCGGUAGUCCUAGCCGUAAACGAUGAGUACUAGGUGUGGGGGUUAACACCUCCGUGCCGACGCCAACGCAUUAAGUACUCCGCCUGGGGACUACGGCCGCAAGGUUA
rnacentral:rRNA from 1 species